rnacentral:lncRNA from 1 species
ACGAAGGCAAGCAACAACAGAAGCGAAAGCUCUAUACUAAAACAUACAACCAUUCAUGAUAUUUGAUUACAUUUUAACCAAAUACAAUUAAACUAAAACUAAUACAUUCAUUUCCUUUCAUUCAUAAAUUCUUUUACAUCUUAAUCAUUCUCCCAAAAUACAUGAUUGUUUACAACUUUACAACUCUAAUCAACAAAAGAAAGUUGAUACAUGAACCAAAAAGGGAAUGACUAAUGCAUAACUUCGGUGGCCACUCGCUAUGGCGCGAUACCCUUACCUCGAUCCUCCGCCGCCCCGCUCACGCUCGGAUCUGUAGGGUUAGUGGUGUGAGAACUACAACGAAGUUUCCAGUGGGUUCGGCAACCGACCUCGCCGACUUACCCACUAGGUUUAUUCAGGCAUAAGUAUUUCAAAGGAAAGGAAAACUGUAACCAAUGCUAAUGCUAAUACUAUGCCUGUAAGAAAGCUGUCAAUGGAUAUAUAUAAUCAAAUAUGAAUGAUUAU